rnacentral:lncRNA from 1 species
UCUUGGCCAUCUCUUCCUAGUUUCUUUCCCAGCCCAAGGCCAUGUAAAUCCUUUACUUAGACUUGGAAAAAUUCUUGCCUCCAAAGGCUUCCUUGUCACCUUCUCCACUACUGAAACCAUUGGCAAACAGAUGAGAAAAGCCAGUGGCGUCAUAGAUAAGCUGACCCCGUUCGGUGAUGGCUUUAUCCGGUUUGAAUUCUUUGAAGAUGGAUGGACAGAGGACGAGGAUAGGCACCAAGACCUUGAUCAAUACUUACUUCAACUUGAGCUUGUUGGUAAACAAGUAAUUCCUCAAAUGAUCAAGAAAAAUGCAGAGCAAGGGCGGCCUGUUUGUUGCCUCAUAAACAACCCUUUCAUUCCUUGGGUUACAGAUGUGGCCACAAGUCUAGGUCUCCCUUCUGCAAUGCUUUGGGUUCAAUCCUGCGCUUGUUUUGCCUCAUAUUACCAUUACUAUCACGGUACUGUACCUUUCCCUGAUGAGGAGCACCCCGAGAUAGAUGUCCAAUUACCAUGCAUGCCUCUCCUAAAACAUGAUGAAGUGCCUAGUUUCUUGCAUCCCACAACUCCUUAUCCUUUCUUGAGGAGGGCUAUUUUAGGCCAGUACAAAAAUCUUGAGAAACCAUUUUGCAUCCUGAUGGAAACAUUCCAAGAGCUUGAACCAGAGCUUAUCAAGCACAUGUCCGAAAUCUUCCCCAUCAAGGCCGUUGGGCCACUAUUCAGAAAUCCCAAGGCACCAAAGACAACGGUCCAUGGAGACUUGCUGAAGGCAGAUGAUUGCAUCGAAUGGCUUGACACAAAGCCACCUUCAUCCGUUGUUUAUGUGUCUUUCGGUAGUGUCGUACAAUUGAAGCAAGACCAAUGGAACGAGAUCGCUUAUGGGUUAUUGAAUUCGGGCGUCUCCUUCUUGUUAGCUAUGAAACCACCCCACAAAGAUGCAGGACAUGACCUCCUUGUUCUGCCAGAUGGGUUCUCGGAGAAAGCAGGAGACAGGGGCAAGGUGGUGCAAUGGAGUCCUCAAGAGAAGGUUUUAGCUCACCCGUCAGUUGCGUGCUUUGUAACUCAUUGUGGGUGGAACUCUACUAUGGAAGCACUCACAUCAGGCAUGCCAGUGGCGGCUUUCCCUCAAUGGGGUGAUCAAGUAACUAAUGCAAAAUAUUUGGUCGACAUCCUUAAGGUUGGUGUGAGAAUGAGCCGCGGAGAAGCAGAGAACAAACUGAUUACUCGUGAUGAGAUAGAGAAAUGCUUGUUGGAGGCCACAGCGGGACCUAAGGCAGUGGAAAUGAAGGAGAAUGCAAUGAAAUGGAAGGAGGCAGCGGAGGCAGCAGUGGCUGAGGGUGGUUCCUCCGACUGGAAUAUACGAUAUUUUACGGAAGAUAUUGUAAAAGCGAAUGAGUCUGAGAUUGCAGGGAAGUGCAAUGGUUCUAAUGAGUUUCCAGUGUCGGUAGUGGUGAAGUCCAUUGAGAAAGUGGCUGAACUGGUGGGGUCAUCGGCAUGAGGGGAUUUGCUUUAUAUGCAGUGAAUAUGGAACUGGUCUAAUCCACUGUUAGUAUGAUGAAAUUAGUCUUGUUAUGUACUUGUCUACUUUUUACUUCUUUUAAUUAGAUAUUAAUAAUAUACAGUAAAGGCCAAAUGCCAUAUGUAUGGUUGUUAUCGAAUUUCUGUACUUUCCUAUUUAUAAUUUGCUAAAAUCUUAUUCGUUUGAAUUGCUUGUAAUGGUUGUUGAAAAUUAAAAUUGUUGUAAUAUUUUUAGUUUUUAUUAUAUUUAUGAUUGUCUUAUGAUUUGAGUAUAAAUUUCAUUAUAUCUAGGAUUUUUAUAAUGUCGAGCAUUAUUCAAAACUCAAAGAAAUUAUUAGAACCGUAUGGGUUGAUAUUUUAAGAAAGUAAGUGAUAGAUUAUCAAGUGGGCGGAGGACAACAAAUUCUAAACUUUCUAGUUUUGAAAAUAUAGUGUCUCAAUGAUUUUUUCAGUCUUCAAGAAAGGAUCAUGCAUGGUUAAGAAUUUAACAUCACAACUCUUGAACGUGAUCUAGAAUUAUAUUGGCAAAUAUUUGAAUUUUUAGUUAAUAAUUCUGACAAUAUUCAAAGAGUAUAUAUACAUUGAUCUUGGCCCAUAUGUACAUCUUAGUCAUGCAGAUGGAGCACAAUAUCGAAGGUUUCAAUAUAAGCCAUUUAAGCAUAUUUUUGGCUUGAGUAUUCUGUUGCCAAAGAUAUGACAUUUUGUUUUCCUUGCUUUCAUUUUAAUAAUGAAUAACAUAAAAGAGAGACUCAUCAUUCCAAUACAUAUAGCACGUCUAUAAGGAAUCGAGGGUUUCGGGCUCCUCGAUAGUUGCUCCCAGUAUAAUGAUCAGUCACCUGCUAGAAAGAAAAAUAUAUAGCUUUGAGCAAACGACAGUAAUUGUAGGACGCAAGUGAAGUGAAUUGGGUUGAUAUUGGGUUCGUUAUACAACAAAUAAUGCAAGGUAAGGGCGGUUUCUGCUAAGAAACGUGAACAGUGGAGGUUGCACGCAGAGAAGGAGAAGAGGAAAAUAAAGGAGGUGGAAACUGACCUGCAGUGGCGGUGCUGUUGUUGAUGGUGGGCGAAGAUGAGGACUGGCGGAGGACGCUGCUGGUUGUUUUUCCUCUUUCUCAGUAUUUUCCUUUUGCCUUUCUUCUCUUAUCUUUUCUCCUUCCCUCUGUUUUUCUGUUCUUCUUCUUUUGUUCUCUAGCGGUGGUAAUGCUACUGGUGGCGGCGUUGUGGCUGCUGGCGAUGGUUCCCGGCGAGGAAAGGUUCUUCUUCCUAACUAGGUGGCUGUGCAAUAGGGAGCUGUUGUGUGUGCCGGUCGACAGUUCUUUUUCUGUGUGUUUAUCCAGGAAGGUUCUUCUGAUGGGCUGCAUAUAUACUUGGGCCCAUCCAGGAAGGGACGUGCCUGUCAUUUUAGCAAAUAAACUGUACCCCUCCUCCUUAUUAUUUACUAGAUUUUUUUUUUUCAUCUUUUUUUAUUUUUUUUUAAUUUUAAUUUUAUUGUUUAAUAUUUUUUUUUAUUAAAGAUGAAGUUUUAUAAUUUAUAUAAUUUAUUUUUUAUAAAGUUAUGUAACAUGAACACAUAACUUUUUAAUUUAAAAAGAUCAUUUAUUGAUGUGAUUAUUUUUUAAUUUUAUUUAUAUAAUUAUUUUGAUGUGUUAAUAUUAAAAAUAAAUUUUAAAAUAUAUAAAAUAUAUAUAUUAUUUUAAUUUUUUUUUAAAAAAAUAACUUUUAUUACAAUGAUUGAGUACUAAUAAAGUGCAUCGAGAAUCUUAAAGUGGAUCGAAAUUUUUAAAAUAAGAUAUAACAAUCACAAUCACUUUUCAACGAUGAUGAUUACUCGUUUUAAUUUUUUCUUUUUUUUUUCUUCAUGAUGAACUUUUAAAACUUUUAUUUAUUUAUUUCUAUUUUUUUUUUUAGAUUUGAUACACGAUUACGAUUAACACUUUGAUUUGAGUUUUGUCAUUUUAUCUUUUUAGUUUUUUUAGAAUGCGUUUGGGAGUGUGGUUGUUAUUACUUUUUAAAUUAUUUUUUAUUUUAAAAAAUAUGUUAAUAAUUUUUUUUUAUUUUUUAAAAAUUAUUUUAAAAAUUAAUACAUUAAAAUAAUUUAAUAACAUCAAAAAUAUAUUAAUUUAAAAUAAAAAAAUUUAAAUUUUUUAAAAAUCACUUUUUAAUAACAAUUCCAAACCCCCUCUUAUCUUUUUAGUUUUUUUAAAGUGUGUUUGAGAAUGUAAUUGUUGUUAUUUUUAAAUUAUUUUUUAUUUUAAAAAAUAUAUUAAUAAUUUUUUUUAUUUUUUAAAAAUUAUUUUUAAGAUUAAUACAUCAAAAUAAUUUAAAAAUAUUAAAAAUAUAUUAAUUUAAAAUAAAAAAAAUUUAAAUUUUUUAAAAAACAAGCAAUUCCAAACCCCCUCUUAUCUGCAUACCCACAAUGCCAGGCGUCAUUGCCUGCGUCUAUACUUUGCUGAGUUGUCCUUCGUGAUUUUUCCAUAUACAGUGAUUUGUCCAUCGCCUGCCCUCCUUAACCUCAUCUCUCUUUCUCGCGCUCGUUGUGUGAACUGUGAAGUCAUAGAAGUCUUGAAGGAAAACAAAGAAGAAGAAAUUCAUGUGCUAAUGGCGGCACUCUCAUCUCAGGGUCACUUAAACCCCAUGCUUAGACUAGGUAAACGCUUAGUCAAUAAAGGUCUCCAUGUCACACUGGCCACCACUGAAUUCACCGGUCACCGCAUGCUCAAAUCUUCCACCAUCAACCCCACCUCCUCCCCCAUCUCAAUCUCUGGAGUCCAAGUUCGCUUCUUCUCUGAUGGUCAAAGCCUAAACUACGACCGCAUGGUUAAUUACGAAUCGUACAAGAAGAGUUUAGCCAAAUUUGGAACCAUCAAUCUCUCAAACCUUAUAAAGGAGCAUUUCCCCAGUAAUGGUCACAAAAAGCUCUCUUGCAUCAUCACCAACCCAUUUGUUACCUGGGUAGCUGAUGUUGCCAUCAAUCAUGGAAUUCCCUGUGCCAUGUUUUGGAUACAGCCAUGUUCACUUUAUGCCAUUUAUUAUCGCUUUUACAAUAAGCUAAACUCAUUUCCUACUUUAACAGAUCCUGAUAUGAGUGUUGAGUUGCCAGGCUUGCCACUGUUAUACAGAAGAUUUACCUUCCUUUGUUCUUCCUUCAAUUCCAUUUGGUAGCUUGCCUAAAAUGUUCCCAGAGAUGUUCCAGAACAUGAAGAGGUAUAAAUGGGUUCUUGGGAACUCAUUCUUUGGGCUUGAGAAAGAUGCUAUUGAAUCCAUGGCUGAUCUCUGCCCUAUUAGUCCCAUUGGCCCUCUAGUUCCUCCAUCACUUCUUGGUGAAGAUGAAGAUCACGAUACGGGUGUCGAGAUGUGGAAAGCAGAAGAUACUUGCAUUGAUUGGUUAAACAAGGAAGCCCCUUCUUCAGAUAUACGUAUCUUUUGGAAGCCUUGUUGUCUUAUCAGCAAAACAAAUGGAGUGCAUAGCAAAAGCCCUGAAGAACAGUAACAGUCCAUUUAUUUGGGUGGUUAAGCAACCAGACUUACCAGAACCUGAUGGUGCAGGACAAUUGCCAUUAGGGUUCUUGGAGGAGACGACAGACCAAGGGGUGGUUGUAUCAUGGUCUCCACAAACCAAAGUUUUAGCCCACCCAGCUAUUGCGUGUUUUAUAACUCACUGUGGAUGGAAUUCUGUGUUAGAAACAAUUGCUGCAGGCGUGCCGGUGAUUGCAUACCCCAAGUGGAGCGACCAGCCAACAAAUGCAAAACUUAUUGUUGAUGUUUUUCGCAUUGGUCUAAGGCUUAGAGCAAAUCAAGAUGGGAUUGUUAGCAACGAGGAAGUUGAAAGAUGUAUUAGAGAGAUCAUGGACGGACCAAAGUCUGUGGAGCUUAAAUCCAAUGCAAGGGAAUUGAGGAUCGCGGCAAGAGAGGCAGUUGCCGGUGGUGGUUCAUCGGACAAGAAUAUUCUGUUGUUUGUAGAUGAAAUUAUUGAGAGUUGUGGUUCAAUUGAAGUAUGCAAUGUAGAAUGCAAGGUUCCUCAUCAAUAUACACAAGGCAACGAAGGCCAAUAAUUGUGAUUGGAUAAUGCUAGGAUUACUGCGUUUUUUUAUUAAGUUUUGUUUAAUUACCUGUUAUUUAUUCCAAGGAAAGAAUUUCAAAUCAUGAAAUGUAGAUCAUAUCAUAUUUAAGACUAUGUUACUCUACUUUUAGCACUAACAAUGGUAAUUUUUCUAACCGGACUGAAGAAAUAUACGUGGUCUGGAUGUGCGAAAACCGAUGCUAUUAAAAUAAAAUAAAAUAAAAUAAUGCUCUAUAUAUUGAUAUUGAUGGAAUAUUCAUGCCUGCAACAGUAGUUCAUUGCAAUAUGCUUUUAAAAAAUAUAUUUUUAAAUUUUUAUCAUUAUAUUAUCAAAAUUAUUGAAAAACAUAAAAGGAAUUUUAAUUUAAUAUUUUUUUCAAAAUAAAUAUAUUUUUUAAACAUUCAAUAUCAAAAGCUGCUGCAAUUUCAAGUCCCAAACACCACCUUAAACUUAUGGACAAGAAAGUAAUUUUUUUAAAAUAUUUUUUUAUUUAAAAAUAUAUUGAAAUAAAAUAUUUUUUUAAAAUUUAUUUUUAAUACUAUUUAAAAAAUACAUAAAAAAUUAAUUUAAAAUAAAUAAAAAAAUAAAAUAAAUAUUAAAGUUAUUUAAUAAUAUUUUUAUCGCACAGGCAGGCCAACGUUUCGUUCGCAGCAAAUAAGUUAAUGGAUUGUGACAGCAUUUCAAUUCUUAUACCCAUAUAAGAUGUUCUUCAAAAUAGUAAGAAACGCGGUAAAAAAUGUGUAUUUAAGGGCUAAACGACACCUCUUGGGUUGUUCUCGUUUUAUAUUUGAUGGGUAAUAACCCUGCUAAACGCACCUCUGGGGUUGUUGGCCUGGGUUUUGGUAAGGGCUAGGUUCCCUUGCUGUUUUUUUCUUCUUCUUUUUAAUUCUUUUCUUUUUCUCGAAGCAUGGAACAAUAAAAAAAACAAUUUAGUUCAUAAAUAUUUUUAAAUUUUAUUCUCUCGUAUUUAAGAAUUAUUAUGUUGUGGCUUGCUAGGUAGGCUCAUCGUGCAACCAAAUUAAUCAAACCCAAAAAAAAGAAGAGAUUUUGAUCAUCAUCCCUCUCUGCUUUUUCUUAAGGAAAUAUAUUGAUUCUCCCUCUAAUCUAAACUAAUGGCAAGAAUUUCUAUAUCAAUGUGAGUUUCCAAUAAAUUAUUUUAGGUAUUUUCAAAAUUAUAAAAGUAUCUUUCAAUAGAAAAACAAAACAAUAUAUAUUCUAAACACAAAUAUAUGAUACAAAUAGCGUAUCGCUGAGUGGUGAGUGGUGAAUAUCCCUUCUUAGCAUGACGUGCUGGAAAGCAUAUACUAGCUAGUGCAGAAUCUUUCAUAGACAGCCAGAAGUCAAGGAAUGAAGUGCACUUGCACUAGUAACUAAUCUUCUUCAUUCAAUCGGAAUAACUUGUUGGUUACCCGAUGUCUUGGGUUUCUGAGUGUUUUUCAAAGAUUUUCAAACAUGUCUUAACUACGUACUGAUCAUUUCCAUGAUCGGAAAAAGAGAAUAGUAAUCGACAUGCAAAAUUGCAAAUAGAUGUGUUUCUCGCUUCUAUAUAUAAUCACAUUAUACAUUAUGCUCUAAUAUGACUGCACAAUCAUUGAAAGCUACAGUUAACUAUUAGCGUAAUCAAAUUUGAUUUCAUCUUCUGUUCCAAGAAGCCAAGGAAAGAGUUAUAAUUGAAACAUUGUAUGCAUUUGACCGUCAGCCAACUAACAGUCCAUCACUAAAAACUUUGAAUGCAACUCCUUAUAAAUGCUAAAUGUAUCUGCAUCCUGUCUUUCCAUGCUCACCACUCAUUCCCAAACUCAUCAAGUCCUCUACUGUUCAUCAAUCUCUUCCGUCUCUCUGCCUGUAAGAAAACCCCGGAAGAGAAAAAUGGUUUCCGAGUCUCUUGGCCAUCUCUUCCUUGUUUCUUUCCCAGCCCAAGGCCAUGUAAAUCCUUUACUUAGACUUGGAAAAAUUCUUGCCUCCAAAGGCUUCCUUGUCACCUUCUCCACUACUGAAACCAUUGGCAAACAGAUGAGAAAAGCCAGUGGCUUCAUAGAUAAGCUGACCCCGUUUGGUGAUGGCUUUAUCCGGUUUGAGUUCUUUGAAGAUGGAUGGACAGAGGACGAGGAUAGGCACCAAGACCUUGAUCAAUACUUACUUCAACUUGAGCUUGUUGGUAAACAAGUAAUUCCUCAAAUGAUCAAGAAAAAUGAAGAGCAAGGGCGGCCUGUUUGUUGCCUCAUAAACAACCCUUUCAUUCCUUGGGUUACAGAUGUGGCCACAAGUCUAGGUCUCCCUUCUGCAAUGCUUUGGGUUCAAUCCUGCGCUUGUUUUGCCUCAUAUUACCAUUUCUAUCACGGUACUGUACCUUUCCCUGAUGAGGAGCACCCCGAGAUAGAUGUCCAAUUACCAUGCAUGCCUCUCCUAAAACAUGAUGAAGUGCCUAGUUUCUUACAUCCUACAACUCCUUAUGCUAUCUUGAGGAGGGCUAUUUUAGGUCAGUACAAAAAUCUUGACAAGCCAUUUUGCAUCCUGAUGGAAACAUUCGAUGAGCUUGAACCAGAGCUUAUCAAGCACAUGUCCGAAAUCUUCCCCAUCAAGGCCGUUGGGCCACUAUUCAGAAAUCCCAAGGCACCACAGACAACGGUCCAUGGAGACUUGCUGAAGGCAGAUGACUGCAUCGAAUGGCUUGACACAAAGCCACCUUCAUCAGUUGUUUAUGUGUCUUUCGGUAGUGUCGUGCAAUUGAAGCAAGACCAAUGGAACGAGAUCGCUUAUGGGUUAUUGAAUUCGGGCGUCAACUUCUUGUUAGUUAUGAAACCAGCCCACAAAGAUGCAGGACAUGACCUCCUUGUUCUGCCAGAUGGGUUCUCGGAGAAAGCAGGAGACAGGGGCAAGGUGGUGCAAUGGAGUCCUCAAGAGAAGGUUUUAGCUCACCCGUCAGUUGCGUGCUUCGUAACACAUUGUGGGUGGAACUCUACUAUGGAAGCACUCACAUCAGGCAUGCCAGUGGCGGCUUUCCCUCAAUGGGGUGAUCAAGUAACUAAUGCAAAAUAUUUGGUCGACAUCCUUAAGGUUGGUGUGAGAAUGAGCCGCGGAGAAGCAGAGAACAAACUGAUUACUCGUGAUGAGAUAGAGAAAUGCUUGUUGGAGGCCACAGCGGGACCUAAGGCAAUGGAAAUGAAGGAGAAAGCAAUGAAAUGGAAGGAGGCAGCGGAGGCAGCAGUGGCUGAGGGUGGUUCCUCCGACUGGAAUAUACGAUAUUUUACGGACGAUAUUGUAAAAGCGAAUGAGUCUGAGAUUGCUGGGAAGUGCAUUGGUUCUAAUGAGUUUCCAGUGUCGGUAGUAGUGAAGUCCAACGAGAAAGUGGCUGAACUGGUGGGGUCAUCGGCAUGAGGAGAUUUGCUAUAUGUGCUGUGAACGUGGAACUGGUUUAAUCCAGUGCUGUUAGUAUGGUGAAAUUAAUUACUCUUGUUAUGUAGUUGUCUACUUUUUACUUCUUUUAAUUAGCUAUUAAUAACAUAUAGCCAAGUGCCAUAUAAAGGCCAUAUGUAUCAUUUUAAGGUAUUGUUGAGUUGUUGUUGUAGUGUAAUUUCAAAAGUAACAAUUGUACCUGAUUUCUUGUGUUUUUAAGGUAUCGAUCGACAAUGCCGCUGGUAUUGUGUUUGCUAAAAAAAAAUAUAUUUUUAAAGUUAUUUUUUCUAUAUUUUUAUAUGAUUUUGAUAUAAUAAUAUUAAUAAUAAAAUUUAAAAAAUAAAAAAUAAAUUAUUUUAAUAUAUUUUCAAGUAAAAAAUAUUUUGAAAAUCAACCAUUAUCACAUACCACUAAAUUUGAUUUUUUAUUAAAUUAAUUUUUUUAUAUUUUUGAAUUGUUUUGAUGUGCUGAUGUUAAAAAUAAAAUAUAUAUUAUUUUAAUGUAUUUCUGAACGAAAAACACUUUAAAAAACAACCACUAACACAAUAUUAAACAUUAGUGUAUUACAACAUAUACACCAUUUAUGCAUCUUUUUCUUCCUCACUAGUGUUUAAAUUAACAUUAUUAGCAAAGAAAAAAAAAUAGCAAACGAGCAUGUUUUUCAAAAUAAUUUAAUUCAUAAAAUAUUUUAAAUUUUAUUUUCUUGUAUUUAAGAAUUAUUAUGUUGCGGCUAUCUAGGUAGACUCAUCGUGCAACCAAAUUAAUCCAACCCAAAAUAAAGAGAGAUUUUGAUCAUUAUCUCUCUCUGUCUUUUCUUAAGGAAAUAUAUUGAUUCUCCCUCUAAUCUAGACUAAUGGCAAGAAUUUCUAUAUCAAUGUGAGUUUCCAAUAAAUUAUUUUAAGUAUUUUCAAAAUUAUAAAACAAUCUUUCAAUAGAAAAACAAAACAAUAUUCCAAACACAAAUAUAUAAUACAAAGUUUUCAUAUUGAGUAGCAUGAAAAAAAAUUCCAAUCUCAACCAAUCCUUAAUGUUUUGGAAUGCAUAAUUCACUGCUAUCAUUUAUUAACUUUAAUAUAAUUUAUUUAUAUAAAAAAAGUAUGAUUUUGUUUUCUAUAAAAAAAUAGUACUCUGCAAAUCACAAAUGACACACACAAGUUGAUCAGAACCAUUCACCAGCACAAAACACUAUUAGAUGUACACUAUUCACGUCUUCUGCAGAGUGAAGCAGACCUCGAACUCAUGUUCAAAACAGCUGUAAUAACUGGUAGCUGUUGAAGUGGCACCAUUUAACUGGUCUCUCGUUCUGCUUCAAAGGAUGGCCUCACUUACAGAUUUGAAACUGGAAGCCUGUCUUUUUUUUGGCUCUGAAAGGGAUUCUCUUGUCUGCUUUUGUAGGUCUGUAAUUUUUUGGGAGCUUCGGCUUCUCUCAUCAGGAUUCAAUUGGAUGUUGCUGGGAACUCCGAACAAUACAAAUAUCGUAUUGCUGAGUGGUGAAUAUCCCUUCUUAGCAUGACGUGCUGGAAAGCAUAUACUGGCUAGUGCAGAAUCUUUCAUAGACAAACCAGAAGUCAAGGAAUGAAGUGCACUCGCAAUAGUAACUAAUCUUCUUCAUUCAAUCGGUAUAACUUGUUGGUUACCCGAUGUCUUGGGUUUCUGAGUGUUGCAAAAUCAUUGAAAGCUACAGUUAACUAUUAGCGUAAUCAAAUUUGAUUUCAUCUUCUGUUCCAAGAAGCCAAGGAAAGAGUUAUAAUUGAAACAUUGUAUGCAUUUGACCGUCAGCCAACUAACAGUCCAUCACUAAAAACUUUGAAUGCAACUCCUUAUAAAUGCUAUAUGUAUCUGCAUCCUUUCUUUCCAUGCUCACCACUCCUUCCCAAACUCAUCAAGUCCUCUACUGUUCAUCAAUCUCUUCCGUCUCUCUGCCUGUAAGAAAACCCCGGAAGAGAAAAAUGGUUUCCGAGUCUCUUGGCCAUCUCUUCCUUGUUUCUUUCCCAGCCCAAGGCCAUGUAAAUCCUUUACUUAGACUUGGAAAAAUUCUUGCCUCCAAAGGCUUCCUUGUCACCUUCUCCACUGCAGAAACCACUGGCGAACAGAUGAGAAAAGCCAGUGGCAUCAUAGAUAAGCUGACCCCGUUUGGUGAUGGCUUUAUCCGGUUUGAAUUCUUUGUAGAUGGAUGGGAAGAGGACGAGCCUAGGCGCCAAGACCUUGAUCAAUACUUACCUCAACUUGAGCUUGUUGGUAAACAAGUAAUUCCUCAAAUGAUCAAGAAAAAUGAAGAGCAAGGGCGGCCUGUUUCUUGCCUCAUAAACAACCCUUUCAUUCCUUGGGUUACAGAUGUGGCUACAAGUCUAGGUCUCCCUUCUGCAAUGCUUUGGGUUCAAUCCUGCGCUUGUUUUGCCUCAUAUUACCAUUACUAUCACGGUACUGUACCUUUCCCUGAUGAGGAGCACCCCGAGAUAGAUGUCCAAUUACCAUGCAUGCCUCUCCUAAAACAUGAUGAAGUGCCUAGUUUCUUGCAUCCCACAACUCC